rnacentral:rRNA from 1 species
UACAGAGGUGGCAAGCGUUGUUCGGAAUUACUGGGCGUAAAGGGCGCGUAGGCGGCCUUCUAAGUCAGACGUGAAAUCCCCAGGCUUAACUUGGGAACUGCGUCUGAUACUGGGAGGCUUGAGUGCGGGAGAGGGAUGUGGAAUUCCAGGUGUAGCGGUGAAAUGCGUAGAUAUCUGGAGGAACACCGGUGGCGAAGGCGGUUCUCUGGGCCUGACCUGACGCUGAGGAGCGAAAGCGUGGGGAGCGAACAGG